rnacentral:tRNA from 1 species
ACCUGGGUGACUUAGUCAGUUAAGCAUCUGACUUUCGCUCAGGUCAUGAUCUCACGGUUUGUGGGUUCGAGCCCCACAUCAGGCU